rnacentral:rRNA from 1 species
CUAACCUUUCACAGAGGGAUAGCCCAGAGAAAUUUGGAUUAAUACCUCAUAGUAUAGCGAGUUUCGCGAUGAAACCACUAUUAAAGUCACAACGGUGAAAGAUGAGCAUGCGUCCCAUUAGCUAGUUGGUAAGGUAACGGCUUACCAAGGCAACGAUGGGUAGGGGUCCUGAGAGGGAGAUCCCCCCACACUGGUACUGAGACACGGACCAGACUCCCUACGGGAGGCAGCAGUGAGGAAUAUUGGACAAUGGGCGCAAGCCUGAUCCAGCCAUGCCGCGUGCAGGAUGACGGUCCUAUGGAUUGUAAACUGCUUUUAUACAGGAAGAAACACUACUUCGUGAAGUAGCUUGACGGUACUGUAAGAAUAAGGAUCGGCUAACUCCGUG